UGGGGAAUCAUAGACAAUGGGCGGAAGCCUGAUCUUGCCAUGCCGCGUGAACGAUGAAGGCCUUAGGGUUGUAAAGUUCUUUCACCGGUGACGAUAAUGACGGUAGCCGGAGAAGAAGCCCCGGCUAACUCCGUGCCAGCAGCCGCGGUAAUACGGAGGGGGCUAGCGUUGUUCGGAAUUACUGGGCGUAAAGCGCGCGUAGGCGGGCUGGAAAGUUGGGGGUGAAAUCCCGGGGCUCAACCCCGGAACUGCCUCCAAAACUCCCAGCCUAGAGGUCGAGAGAGGUGAGUGGAAUUCCGAGUGUAGAGGUGAAAUUCGUAGAUAUUCGGAGGAACACCCGUGGCGAAGGCGGCUCACUGGCUCGAUACUGACGCUGAGGUGCGAAAGCGUGGGGAGCAAACAGGAUUAGAUACCCCCGUAGUCC
rnacentral:rRNA from 1 species